rnacentral:rRNA from 1 species
UACAGAGGGUGCGAGCGUUAAUCGGAGUUACUGGGCGUAAAGGGCGCGUAGGUGGUUGUUUAAGUGAGAUGUGAAAUCCCUGGGCUUAACCUAGGAACUGCAUCUUAUACUGGGCAACUGGAGUACUGUAGAGGGUAGUGGAAUUUCCGGUGUAGCGGUGAAAUGCGUAGAGAUCGGAAGGAACACCAGUGGCGAAGGCGGCUACCUGGACAGAUACUGACACUGAGGCGCGAAAGCAUGGGGAGCAAACAGG